AGGGCACCACCAGGAGUGGAGCCUGCGGCUUAAUUUGACUCAACACGGGGAAACUCACCCGGCCCGGACACUGGAAGGAUUGACAGAUUGAGAGCUCUUUCUUGAUUCAGUGGGUGGUGGUGCCUGGCCGUUCUUAGUUGGUGGAGCGAUUUGUCUGGUUAAUUCCGAUAACGAACGAGACUCUAGCCUACUAAAUAGAUCGCCGGUUUACAAACAUCGGUGAGACUUCUUAGAGGGACAGGCGGCGAUUCAGCCGCACGAAACAGAGCAAUAACAGGUCUGUGAUGCCCUUAGAUGUUCGGGGCCGCACGCGCGCUACACUGAAGUGAUCAGCGUGCUUUUUAAGCCUACUCUGCCAAGAGUGGGAAACCCAAUGAACCUUCUUCGUGAUUGGGAUAGGAGAUUGUAAUUAUUCUCCUUGAACGAGGAAUUCCCAGUAAGCGCGAGUCAUUAGCUCGCGUUGAUUACGUCCCUGCCCUUUGUACACACCGCCCGUCGCUACUACCGAUUGAAUGUUUU
rnacentral:rRNA from 1 species